GGGCGUAAGCGAGCGCAGGCGGUUUUUUAAGUCUGAUGUGAAAGCCUUCGGCUCAMCCGWAGAAGUGCAUCGGAAACUGGGAAACUUGAGUGCAGAAGAGGACAGUGGAACUCCAUGUGUAGCGGUGAAAUGCGUAGAUAUAUGGAAGAACACCAGUGGCGAAGGCGGCUGUCUGGUCUGUAACUGACGCUGAGGCUCGAAAGUAUGGGUAGCAAACAGGAUUAGAUACCCUGGUAGUCCAUACCGUAAACGAUGAAUGCUAAGUGUUGGAGGGUUUCCGCCCUUCAGUGCUGCAGCUAACGCAUUAAGCAUUCCGCCUGGGGAGUACGGCCGCAAGGCUGAAACUCAAAGGAAUUGACGGGGGCCCGCACAAGCGGUGGAGCAUGUGGUUUAAUUCGAAGCUACGCGAAGAACCUUACCAGGUCUUGACAUACUAUGCAAAUCUAAGAGAUUAGACGUUCCCUUCGGGGACAUGGAUACAGGUGGUGCAUGGUUGUCGUCAGCUCGUGUCGUGAGAUGUUGGGUUAAGUCCCGCAACGAGCGCAACCCUUAUUAUCAGUUGCCAGCAUUAAGUUGGGCACUCUGGUGAGACUGCCGGUGACAAACCGGAGGAAGGUGGGGAUGACGUCAAAUCAUCAUGCCCCUUAUGACCUGGGCUACACACGUGCUACAAUGGAUGGUACAACGAGUUGCGAACUCGCGAGAGUAAGCUAAUCUCUUAAAGCCAUUCUCAGUUCGGAUUGUAGGCUGCAACUCGCCUACAUGAAGUCGGAAUCGCUAGUAAUCGCGGAUCAGCAUGCCGCGGUGAAUACGUUCCCGGGCCUUGUACACACCGCCCGUCACACCAUGAGAGUUUGUAACACCCA
rnacentral:rRNA from 2 species